AGAAGGCUCGCGCACAAUUCUCACCCACACAGUGAGCUGCAAUCGUUUCAGACCGGUUACAGUCUCAGUACUCUAUAAAACAUAUCGAUUGUUUUAUACCCAUUUUUCUCUCUUUUAGAAGACUUAAUCAAAAUCAAAACUGAGGUUUCCUUAAUAAAGUUCGGAUAUCCCCACCCCUCCUUUUGAUUAUUAUUCUUUUGAAGAUUCUUCGUUGUCAAGCCGCCAAAGUGGAGAGUGUGAUUGCAGAAGGGGGUGCUUCUCGUUUCAGUUGCGUUUUAGAGCCGAGCAUCUGCGUUGACGCUACGCCAGUCGCCUUGAGCAAGUGGAGAGUUCAGUUUAACUUAACUCAUGACCAAGGGUGCUUCUUCGGGCGGAGGAGGAGGUAGGGGUGCCUCUCAGCACUAUCCCAAGACUGUCGGUAACAGCGAGUACCUGGGGAAAACCCCAGGGCCUAGCGUUCAGAGAUGGGUUCCUUCACGAAGCACUAGACGAGAUGUCAACUCCUCCAAUGAAAAAGAACAUCACGAUGCAAUAUUUAGGAAAGUGAGAGGCAUACUUAAUAAGCUGACCCCUGAAAAGUUUGACAAGCUAUGCCUUGAGCUUCUCAAUGUUGGUGUAGACAAUAAAGUUGUCCUCAAAGGUAUCAUCUUGCUGAUCGUAGACAAAGCCCUAGAAGAGCCCAAAUACAGCUCACUCUAUGCUCAGCUAUGUCUGCGUUUGGCAGAGGAUGCACCAAACUUUGAUGGCCAAACACCUGAAAUACAGUCAUCACAAAAGCAGAGCACAACUUUCAGAAGACUUCUAAUUUCCAAGCUUCAAGAUGAAUUUGAAAACCGCACCAAAAAUGUUGACAUCUAUGACAAACAAGACAACCCUCUCACCUCUGAGGAGGAGGAGCAGCGUGCCAUUGCCAAGAUCAAGAUGCUUGGCAAUAUCAAAUUCAUUGGAGAACUCGGCAAACUUGACCUCAUCCAUGAAUCUAUCCUUCAUAAGUGCAUCAAAACACUUUUGGAGAAAAAAAAGAGGGUCCAGCUCAAGGACAUGGGAGAGGAUCUGGAGUGUCUCUGUCAGAUAAUGAGAACCGUGGGGCCCAGACUCGACCAUGAAAAAGCCAAGUCUUUAAUGGAUCAGUACUUUGGCCGGAUGCAAUCCUUAAUGAACAACAAGGAUUUGCCUGCAAGGAUUCGUUUCCUACUGCAGGACACUUUGGAGCUGAGAGAGAACAAUUGGGUCCCUCGCAAAGCUUUCAUCGACAAUGGACCAAAGACGAUAAACCAGAUUCGUCAAGAUGCAGUGAAGGAUUUGGGUGUUUUCAUUCCACCCAUGAACCAAGGAAUUAGAAUGGACUUCUUCCUAGAAGGCCCCUUCAUGACGAACAGGAUGAAACUGGAUAGAGAAACUCUAGGGGGAUUGGCCGAUAUGUUUGGUCAGAUGCCAGGUAGUGGCAUAGGGACUGGUCCAGGUGUGAUCCAGGACAGAUUUUCCCCCACCCUAGGACGUCAUCGUACAAAUCCUCUUUUUAAUGGCCACAGUGGACACAUGGCUUCCCAACCACAGUCACAGUUUGACUUGGGUAUGAAGCCUUUCAUCAAGUCUAACCAGGGACAGAAUCAGCAUUUUCACAAUCAAAACCAGAACCAUUCAAACCAGCACCAAGUUCAAUCCAAGGACAUGCCUCCACGCUUCAAGAAGGGGCAGCUCAAUGCAGACGAGAUCAGCCUUAGACCUGCUCAGUCGUUCCUCGUGAAUAAAAACCAAGUGCCAAAACUGCAUCCCCAGAUUCCUACCAUGAUUCCACCAAGUGCUCAGCCUCCACGAACACAGACUCCACCACUUGGACAGCCUCCUCAACUUGGUCUGAAAACCAACCCGCCUCUGAUCCAGGAGAAACCUCAAAAGACUACUAAGAAACCAGCGCCUGCUAAGGAGGAACUGCUGAAAAUGACUGAGAGCAUUGUGACGGAUUAUCUGAACAGUAAGAACAUGGAGGAUGCUGUCAGUGGUGUGAAAGAGAUGAAAUCUCCCAAACACUUUCUGCCAGAGAUGUUGAGUAAAAUUAUCUUGUGUUCUCUGGAGAGAAGUGAUGUGGACCGGGAACAGGCUAGCACUCUUAUCCAUACAUUACGCACUGAGAGCUUAAUCACUGGGGAAAACUUCAUGCAGGCUCUGCUAAAUGUCUUGGAUCAAUGCCCUAAGAUCGAGGUGGACAUUCCUCUGGUGAAGUCAUACCUAGCACAGUUUGCAGCACGGGCCAUCAUUGCGGAGUUGGUCAGUGUGGCAGAACUGGCUCAUCCACUGGAGAACGGCUACCACUUUCCUCUUUUCUUGCUAUGCCUGCAGCAAGCUUCCAAGCUCAAGGACCGUGAGUGGCUCACAGAUCUCUUUCAGCAGAGCAAGGUCAACAUGCAGAAGAUGCUUCCUGAAAUUGACCAGAAUAAGGACCGUAUGCUGGAGGUUCUUGAGGGGAAAGGUUUAAGUUUCCUUUUCCCCUUGCUGAAACUGGAGAAGGAACUGCUGAAGCAGAUCAAGGCAGACCCCUCCCCUCAGGCCAUCUACAAGUGGAUCAAAGACAACAUUUCUCCCAAACUCCACACUGACAAGGGCUUCAUCAACAUACUUAUAACCAGCUUCCUGCAGUAUAUCUUUGCUGAGCUUGGCGUGGACGAAGGUGAUGAGCAACUGGCCUCCCCUUCUAAAGAGCAGCUGGACCAGGAGAAGCAACUGCUACUCUCCUUCAAGCCAGUCAUGCAGAAGUUCCUCCACAAUCACGCUGACCUGCAGGUCAGUGCCCUGUAUGCCCUGCAGGUGCACUGCAAUGCCAGCGCUUUCCCAAAAGGUACAGAAACUACUCUGAUUGUAACCUGCUGUGCCUUGCCUGUUUUUAUGAAUGUUUAUUUUUAUUUUUUAAUUAGGUAUGUUGCUUCGCUACUUUGUCCACUUUUAUGACAUGGAGAUUAUUGAGGAUGAAGCUUUUCUUGCAUGGAAAGAAGACAUUUCCCAAGAAUUUCCUGGAAAAGGGAAAGCCUUAUUCCAGGUGAAUCAGUGGCUGACUUGGCUUGAGACAGCUGAGGAAGAGGAGUCUGAGGAGGAAGCUGACUGAUGAUCCAGACUAAUCUUCCAGUACACAUUAAUUUCCUGCUACAUGACUGACUUUCUUCUCUUUGGUUCCUUCACACUUUGCAGUAGCUCACACUCGGCCAAUUAUAGUAUACUGCUGCUAGGCUCAUGAAUUAAACAAAAGACCUUUUUCAUAACAUCUCUAAUGUUUCUCGCAUCAUAACCAAUGUCAAGCUUAUCUUUAGUUUCAGAACCGCUGUACUUUUUCAGUAGAAAAAGUGGUAGUCAAAUCUUCCUUUACAUGUUCUGUCUGGUUUAAUUUGUUUUCGUUUCACAAGACACAGGACAGAAAACCUUUCAGCGUCUCAGCAGGUGUGAAACUUGUAUAGAACCAAUGAUUUGUUUGCAGUCUGUCUUGGAUAUUGAUUAAAAUGAAUCAUGAGAUCCUGGUUGAAUGGCCUUAAUAGGUUAUGCUGUAGAUGCUUUUACUAGUGUUAUUCUGGGUCGGUUGCAAUAUCCUUCCCCCCAGUGCAUGAUUUAAACAUCUGUAAAACUGUAAUCACUGUAACAUGUUAGCAGUUUCCAUGUCUACCUCCUACCGAAUAAGCGUUAUUUAGGCUUUGAUCAUGUGUAAAGUUUUAGACUUGAAUUAAGAUCCAGAACAUCUGCGUAGUUUGAUUUUGCACAAUACACUACCUUAUAUCUCCGCUUACAAUAGAGUUUAAGUGCUUUCCAUUGAAGAUGCAGAAAUCAGGCUACUAGUGUCAAAUUAAUGCCUCUGCUGCCCCAGCCUUACUUCAUUAAUGUUGUCUAAAGUGCGUUUUGACAAGGUAACUGCAAUGUGUUCUCUGUAUAAUGGCAGUAGUAAUGUUGCCCUUCCGGUCCCGCUGAUCUAUUGCAAAUUAUUCUAAUCAUAAACAUCGAAGUGGUGGAUUAUUUGAACCUGCCUCAAUGAAAAUCAGAAAAAUCUUUAAAACCCAUAAGCGAUGAAAGGCUUUUGCCCUUGUCAGUAAGCGGUUCUCAAGACAACCUUUUAUUGACAGGUGUUUUAACUGUGUAUGACCAAGUUAAUCUUGUGAACUUGCAUUUGCCAACAUAUUAACUGCAGACCAGCUGUCAGAAAUGGCUUAUGAUUGUCUUGUAAGGCUGUUUAGUGCUGUUUUCAUCACCACUAUUGCUGAAUUCACAAUAAAGGAAAAACUUGAUUAA